GGGUCUUUAGCUCAGCAGUAGAGCGGCAGACUUCGGUUCACAUUCCGAAGCUUCGCACCCUCGAGGUGUGGAAUUCUGCAGGUCGCGGGUUCAAUCCCCGUAGGACUCU
rfam:Sporisorium reilianum SRZ2 chromosome 10 complete DNA sequence